rnacentral:rRNA from 1 species
UCAAGUAAUUAAGUGCAUGUGGUGGAUGCCUUGGCAGUCAGAGGCGAUGAAAGACGUGAUAGCCUGCGAAAAGCUCCGGGGAGGCGGCAAAUAUCCUUUGAUCCGGAGAUGUCUGAAUGGGGGAACCCACCUACUUUAAGGUAGGUAUUGCAACAUGAAUACAUAGUGUUGCAAGGCGAACGAGGGGAAGUGAAACAUCUCAGUACCCUUAGGAAAAGAAAUCAAUUGAGAUUCCCUCAGUAGCGGCGAGCGAACGGGGAUCAGCCCAUUAAGUUAUGUGUGUUUUAGUGGAACGCUCUGGGAAGUGCGAACGUAGAGGGUGAUAUUCCCGUACACGAAAGGGCACACAUAAUGAUGACGAGUAGGGCGAGGCACGUGAAACCUUGUCUGAAUAUGGGGGGACCAUCCUCCAAGGCUAAAUACUCCUGACUGACCGAUAGUGAACCAGUACCGUGAGGGAAAGGCGAAAAGAACCCCUGUGAGGGGAGUGAAAUAGAUCCUGAAACCGCAUGCAUACAAGCAGUGGGAGCACCUUCGUGGUGUGACUGCGUACCUUUUGUAUAAUGGGUCAGCGACUUAUAUUCAGUAGCGAGGUUAACCGUAUAGGGGAGCCGUAGAGAAAUCGAGUCUUAAUAGGGCGUUUAGUUGCUGGGUAUAGACCCGAAACCAGGCGAUCUAUCCAUGAGCAGGUUGAAGGUUGGGUAACACUAACUGGAGGACCGAACCCACUGUCGUUGAAAAGCCAGGGGAUGACUUGUGGAUAGGGGUGAAAGGCUAAUCAAGCCUGGUGAUAGCUGGUUCUCCCCGAAAGCUAUUUAGGUAGCGCCUCGGACGAAUACCAUAGGGGGUAGAGCACUGUUUCGGCUAGGGGGUCAUCCCGACUUACCAAACCGAUGCAAACUCCGAAUACCUAUGAGUACUAUCCGGGAGACAGACUGCGGGUGCUAACGUCCGUAGUCAAGAGGAAAACAAUCCAGACCGCCAGCUAAGGCCCCAAAAUCAUAGUUAAGUGGGAAACGAUGUGGGAAGGCAUAGACAGCUAGGAGGUUGGCUUAGAAGCAGCCACCCUUUAAAGAAAGCGUAAUAGCUCACUAGUCGAGUCGGCCUGCGCGGAAGAUGUAACGGGGCUAAAACUAUGUGCCGAAGCUGCGGAUGUAUACUUUGUAUACGUGGUAGGGGAGCGUUCUGUAAGCCGAUGAAGGUGUGUUGAGAAGCAUGCUGGAGGUAUCAGAAGUGCGAAUGCUGACGUGAGUAACGACAAAACGGGUGAAAAACCCGUUCGCCGAAAGACCAAGGGUUCCAGUCCAACGUUAAUCGGGGCUGGGUGAGUCGACCCCUAAGGCGAGGCCGAAAGGCGUAGUCGAUGGGAAAAUGGUUAAUAUUCCAUUACUUCUGUGUAAUGCGAUGAGAGGACGGAGAAGGCUAAAUCAGCCUGGCGUUGGUUGUCCAGGUGAAAGGAUGUAGGCAUGUAUCUUAGGCAAAUCCGGGGUACUCUAUGCUGAGAUCUGAUAGCAAGCUGUACUUGUACAGCGAAGUGGUUGAUGCCAUGCUUCCAGGAAAAGUCUCUAAGCUUCAGUUACACAGGAAUCGUACCCGAAACCGACACAGGUGGUCAGGUCGAGUAGACCAAGGCGCUUGAGAGAACUCUGCUGAAGGAACUAGGCAAAAUGGUACCGUAACUUCGGGAGAAGGUACGCUGUUGUUGGUGAUGGAACUCGCUUCCUGAGCUGACGACAGCCGCAGAAACCAGGCCGCUGCAACUGUUUAUUAAAAACAUAGCACUCUGCAAACACGAAAGUGGACGUAUAGGGUGUGAUGCCUGCCCGGUGCUGGAAGGUUAAUUGAUGGGGUUAGCGUAAGCGAAGCUCUUGAUCGAAGCCCCAGUAAACGGCGGCCGUAACUAUAACGGUCCUAAGGUAGCGAAAUUCCUUGUCGGGUAAGUUCCGACCUGCACGAAUGGCAUAAUGAUGGCGGCGCUGUCUCCAGCAGAGGCUCAGUGAAAUCGAAAUCGCUGUGAAGAUGCAGUGUACCCGCGGCUAGACGGAAAGACCCCGUGAACCUUUACUGCAGCUUGACACUGAACUUUGACCUUACUUGUGUAGGAUAGGUGGGAGGCUUUGAAGCUGGAACGCUAGUUCCAGUGGAGCCGUCCUUGAAAUACCACCCUGGUAAUGUUGAGGUUCUAACUCUGUCCCGUGAUCCGGGACGAGGACCGUGUCUGGUGGGUAGUUUGACUGGGGCGGUCUCCUCCUAAAGAGUAACGGAGGAGUACGAAGGUGCGCUCAGCGUGGUCGGAAAUCACGCGUAGAGUAUAAAGGCAAAAGCGCGCUUAACUGCGAGACCCACAAGUCGAGCAGGUACGAAAGUAGGUCUUAGUGAUCCGGUGGUUCUGUAUGGAAGGACCAUCGCUCAACGGAUAAAAGGUACUCUGGGGAUAACAGGCUGAUACCGCCCAAGAGUUCAUAUCGACGGCGGUGUUUGGCACCUCGAUGUCGGCUCAUCUCAUCCUGGGGCUGAAGCAGGUCCCAAGGGUAUGGCUGUUCGCCAUUUAAAGAGGUACGCGAGCUGGGUUUAGAACGUCGUGAGACAGUUCGGUCCCUAUCUACCGUGGGCGCUGGAAAUUUGAGAGGAUCUGCUCCUAGUACGAGAGGACCAGAGUGGACGAACCUCUGGUGUACCGGUUGUGACGCCAGUCGCAUCGCCGGGUAGCUAUGUUCGGAAGGGAUAACCGCUGAAAGCAUCUAAGCGGGAAGCCUACCUCAAGAUAAGAUUUCCCUAGGACUUUAUGUCCUCUAAAGAGCCGUUCGAGACUAGGACGUUGAUAGGUUGGAUGUGGAAGCAUAGUGAUAUGUGAAGCUGACCAAUACUAAUUGCUCGUGAGGCUUGACUAU